rnacentral:rRNA from 1 species
GACAGAGGUGCCAAGCGUUAGGCGGAAUCACUGGGCUUAAAGCGUGUGUAGGCGGAAUUCUAAGUACCUUGUGAAAUCCCACGGCUCAACCGUGGAACUGCUCGGUAUACUGGUUUUCUUGAGCCAUCCAGGGGCAACUGGAACAAGCGGUGGAGCGGUGAAAUGCGUAGAUAUCGCUUGGAACGCCAAAGGUGAAAACAGGUUGCUGGGGAUGAGCUGACACUGAGACGCGAAAGCCAGGGGAGCGAACGGG